CUGGUCGGGCUAUAGCCAAUCCACAAUUAUGGCAUACUCCGGCUAAAUAAGGAGGAAAUAUCAACAUCCGCAGGACUUGCGGUGCGGCACUGUGGAGACGUGUCGUAAUGCGGCAGCCAUGCCCGGCCGCCGUGAGGGAGCGCAUUGCGAAUGCAGCGCUGUCAGAGUCAGAAAAGUAUGGCA
rfam:Firmicutes bacterium CAG:170 genomic scaffold, scf91